rnacentral:rRNA from 1 species
AUUGAACGCUGGCGGCAGGCCUAACACAUGCAAGUCGAGCGGAUGAAGGUGGCUUGCUACCUGAUUCAGCGGCGGACGGGUGAGUAAUGCCUAGGAAUCUGCCUGGUAGUGGGGGACAACGUUUCGAAAGGAACGCUAACACCGCAUACGUCCUACGGGAGAAAGUGGGGGAUCUUCGGACCUCACGCUAUCAGAUGAGCCUAGGUACGAUUAGCUAGUUGGUGAGGUAAAGGCUCACCAAGGCGACGAUCGUUAACUGGUCUGAGAGGAUGAUCAGUCACACUGGGAGUGAGACACGGUCCAGACUCCCACGGGAGGCAGCAGUGGGGAAUAUUGGACAAUGGGCGAAAGCCUGAUCCAGCCAUGCCGCGUGUGUGAAGAAGGUCUUCGGAUUGUAAAGCACUUUAAGUUGGGAGGAAGGGCAGUAAGUUAAUACCUUGCGGUUUUGACGUUACCAACAGAAUAAGCACCGGCUAACUUCGUGCCAGCCGCCGCCGAAACAC